rnacentral:rRNA from 1 species
UUUAACUGAAGAGUUUGAUCAUGGCUCAGAUUGAACGCUGGCGGCAGGCUUAACACAUGCAAGUCGAGCGGGGGAAGGUAGCUUGCUACUGGACCUAGCGGCGGACGGGUGAGUAAUGCUUAGGAAUCUGCCUAUUAGUGGGGGACAACAUCUCGAAAGGGAUGCUAAUACCGCAUACGUCCUACGGGAGAAAGCAGGGGAUCUUCGGACCUUGCGCUAAUAGAUGAGCCUAAGUCGGAUUAGCUAGUUGGUGGGGUAAAGGCCUACCAAGGCGACGAUCUGUAGCGGGUCUGAGAGGAUGAUCCGCCAC